rnacentral:rRNA from 1 species
GCAUAUCAAUAAGCGGAGGAAAAGAAACUAACAAGGAUUCCCUUAGUAACGGCGAGUGAAGCGGGAAGAGCUCAAAUUUGAAAUCUUCAAGGUUCUACCUUGACGAAUUGUAGUUUAAAGAAGUGUUUUCUGUUAGAUGAGUAGCAAAAGUUCCUUGGAAUGGGACAUCAUAGAGGGUGAGAAUCCCGUAUUUGGUUAUUCAUUCUAGCUUUGUGAUACACUUUCAAAGAGUCGGAUUGUUUGGGAAUGCAGUCCAAAAUGGGUGGUAAAUUUCAUCUAAAGCUAAAUAUUGGCGAGAGACCGAUAGCGAACAAGUACCGUGAGGGAAAGAUGAAAAGAACUUUGAAAAGAGAGUUAAACAGUACGUGAAAUUGUCAAAAGGGAAGCGUUUGACACCAGUGUUGUUUUUCCGAAAAUCAAUUACGAAUGGCUUGAUUUUGUGUUGUAUUGACCUUAUCAGCUUUCUGCACUUUUUUCGAGUCUUUCUUAAUGCACUUUUCGGUUAACAAGUCAACAUCAGUUUCUUUUGUUGUAAAAGAGUAUUCGGAAGGUGGCUUUCUUUUCGGAGAAAGUGUUUAUAGCCCUAUACUUCUACAAUCGGAGAGAUUGAGGUCUGCAGCGUAGAUCCUUCGGGGUUAGAUACACUUGUGCUAAGUUGUAGCUUUUCAUAGACAACUUGUUGACUAUGUUUAGUCAUGCGGCUUACUCGCUUAUGCUAUUUUACCUACGCUUAGGAUGUUGACAAAAUGGUUUUAAACGACCCGUCUUGAAACACGGACC